rnacentral:rRNA from 1 species
UUCCAGACUCCUACGGGAGGCAGCAGUGAGGAAUAUUGGUCAAUGGCCGGAAGGCUGAACCAGCCAAGCCGCGUGAAGGACGAAGGUGCCAAGCAUUGUAAACUUCUUUUGUCAAGGGACAAAAUCAGGCUCGAGAGCCUGACCGAGGGUACUUGAAGAAAAAGCAUCGGCUAACUCCGUGCCAGCAGCCGCGGUAAUACGGAGGAUGCGAGCGUUAUCCGGAUUUAUUGGGUUUAAAGGGUGCGCAGGCGGGCUGUUAAGCCGGCGGUAAAAAUUCAGGGCUCAACCCUGUCGAGCCGUCGGAACUGGCAGCCUUGAGUGGGCGAGAAGUAUGCGGAAUGCGUGGUGUAGCGGUGAAAUGCAUAGAUAUCACGCAGAACUCCGAUUGCGAAGGCAGCAUACCGGCGCCCAACUGACGCUGAAGCACGAAAGCGUGGGUAUCGAACAGGAUUAGAUACCCGGGUACCU